AAAAAAAUAAUUUUUUAUUUUUCCAUUUUUAUAUGUGUUAAUGCACUUCUUCUUCUAUUCAUCUUGGAAUUCUAUUCCCAACUAAUUUUUACCCUUAAUUUUCAUAUUAAUCUCCAAAUGUCAUAAAAUUUAAUAAUAAUUUUGUAUUGUUCGCAACCUUAUCUAAAUCAAAGUGAGAAUUAAAUUUGUACAAACCCAAGAAAAUCAAGAUAGGGAUGAUGGUGAAAUAAAAUAGAAAAACACAGUCUUGGUUCUAUGUGUUAAGGUUAUGAUAUAGAAAUUAAGAUUUAGAAUUUUAUUAAGAAUGAAAUAGAAUUGUUGCAUAUAUAUAUAUAUAUACAUACAUAUAUACACAUAUACACAUCAGUUUGUAAUCUCUUUUUCGAAAUAUAUUCUUGCAAACUACAAAUGAUAUAACACAAUUUCAUUUGGAGAAAAACCCAAAAGCCACUUCAUGCAGACGUGUGUAGCAUACAAGCAAUAUAUCUUAAUUUCUAUUUUAAUAUAAAAUAUUAUUAAUUAAAAUAAUUAUAAGGGAAGACAAAAACAUGCAAGGGUUACAACUAACGAGAAAGGAUCCAACUGAUUUACCAUUUCUCCAUCAUUUUCCUCUUUGGAAAACUCAUGGUUCACAAAUCUAAAACUGAUAAAAAAAAGACCGUACAACUAAUUCAAUUACGUGGUCUUCUUCCUUACAUUACACUCGUCAGACACACCCUGAUUCUGCAACUGAUACGAGAUAAACCAGGAGACUUACCCAAACCUUACUCAUCACUCAUCUCAUUUCCUUUCUAAAAAUAGAUCUUCUUCUUUCUCUAUUUUAACCUUUCACUUCUCACAAACCACCAGCCAGAGAGAAGAAAAACCAUUUACCUUUGUUUUUUAUUUUUGUCUUUUGCUUCUUUUUUUUUUUUACUCUCUCUCUCUCUCUCUCUCUCUCUCUCUCUCGCUCUC
rnacentral:lncRNA from 1 species